rnacentral:rRNA from 1 species
UCAGAUUGAACGCUGGCGGCAGGCCUAACACAUGCAAGUCGAGCGGAUGAGUGGAGCUUGCUCCAUGAUUCAGCGGCGGACGGGUGAGUAAUGCCUAGGAAUCUGCCUGGUAGUGGGGGACAACGUUUCGAAAGGAACGCUAAUACCGCAUACGUCCUACGGGAGAAAGUGGGGGAUCUUCGGACCUCACGCUAUCAGAUGAGCCUAGGUCGGAUUAGCUAGUUGGUGAGUAAAGGCUCACCAAGGCGACGAUCCGUAACUGGUCUGAGAGGAUGAUCAGUCACACUGGAACUGAGACACGGUCCAGACUCCUACGGGAGGCAGCAGUGGGGAAUAUUGGACAAUGGGCGAAAGCCUGAUCCAGCCAUGCCGCGUGUGUGAAGAAGGUCUUCGGAUUGUAAAGCACUUUAAGUUGGGAGGAAGGGCAGUAAGUUAAUACCUUGCUGUUUUGACGUUACCAACAGAAUAAGCACCGGCUAACUUCGUGCCAGCAGCCGCGGUAAUACGAAGGGUGCAAGCGUUAAUCGGAAUUACUGGGCGUAAAGCGCGCGUAGGUGGUUCGUUAAGUUGGAUGUGAAAGCCCCGGGCUCAACCUGGGAACUGCAUCCAAAACUGGCGAGCUAGAGUAUGGCAGAGGGUGGUGGAAUUUCCUGUGUAGCGGUGAAAUGCGUAGAUAUAGGAAGGAACACCAGUGGCGAAGGCGACCACCUGGGCUAAUACUGACACUGAGGUGCGAAAGCGUGGGGAGCAAA